rnacentral:rRNA from 1 species
GUGGGGAAUUUUGGACAAUGGGCGAAAGCCUGAUCCAGCCAUGCCGCGUGAGUGAAGAAGGCCUUCGGGUUGUAAAGCUCUUUCGGUGGGGAAGAAAUUGCACGGGUUAAUAGCCUGUGUAGAUGACGGUACCUGGAGAAGAAGCACCGGCUAACUACGUGCCAGCAGCCGCGGUAAUACGUAGGGUGCGAGCGUUAAUCGGAAUUACUGGGCGUAAAGCGUGCGCAGGCGGUUUGGUAAGUCAGAUGUGAAAUCCCCGGGCUCAACCUGGGAACUGCAUUUGAGACUGCCAAGCUGGAGUUUGGCAGAGGGGGGUGGAAUUCCACGUGUAGCAGUGAAAUGCGUAGAGAUGUGGAGGAACACCGAUGGCGAAGGCAGCCCCCUGGGCCAAUACUGACGCUCAUGCACGAAAGCGUGGGGAGCAAACAGGAUUAGAAACCCUGGUAGUCC